UUACGGCCACAUCACGUUAAAAUACCGGUUCCCUUACGAUCACCGAAGUUAAGCAACGUCAAGCCUGGUCAGUAGGUAACCGCUUGGGAACACCAGGUGCUGUAAG